rnacentral:tRNA from 1 species
GCUCCCAUGGCGUAGUGGUCCACUGCGCUCGCCUUGCACGCGGGAGACCCGGGUUCGAUUCCCGGCGGGGUCA